rnacentral:rRNA from 1 species
GACGAACGCUGGCGGCGUGCUUAACACAUGCAAGUCGAACGAUGAAGCCGGAGCUUGCUCUGGUGGAUUAGUGGCGAACGGGUGAGUAACACGUGAGUAACCUGCCCUUGACUCUGGGAUAAGCGUUGGAAACGACGUCUAAUACCGGAUACGAGCUAGGACCGCAUGGUCACUAGCCGGAAAGAACUUCGGUCAAGGAUGGACUCGCGGCCUAUCAGUUAGUUGGUGAGGUAACGGCUCACCAAGACGACGACGGGUAGCCGGCCUGAGAGGGUGACCGGCCACACUGGGACUGAGACACGGCCCAGACUCCUACGGGAGGCAGCAGUGGGGAAUAUUGCACAAUGGGCGCAAGCCUGAUGCAGCAACGCCGCGUGAGGGACGACGGCCUUCGGGUUGUAAACCUCUUUUAGCAGGGAAGAAGCGCAAGUGACGGUACCUGCAGAAAAAGCACCGGCUAACUACGUGCCAGCCGCCGCUGUAACAC